rnacentral:rRNA from 1 species
UACGUAGGGUGCAAGCGUUAUCCGGAAUCACUGGGCGUAAAGCGUGCGUAGGUGGCGUGUUAAGUGUGAUGUUAAAUCGUGUGGCUCAACCAUAUCGAUGUGUCGCAUACUGGCAUGCUAGAGGGAAGCAGAGGCAAGUGGAAUUGGUAGUGUAGCAGUGAAAUGCGUAGAUAUUACCAGGAACACCAAUGGCGAAGGCAGCUUGCUGGGCUUCUUCUGACACUGAGGUACGAAAGCGUGGGGAGCGAACAGG